UGGGGAAUCUUGGACAAUGGGGGAAACCCUGAUCCAGCGAUGCCGCGUGUGUGAAGAAGGCCUUAGGGUUGUAAAGCACUUUAGUGGGGGAGGAGUAGGCGUUGUUUCAUAGACGACGUUGAGGACGUUACCCCAAGAAUAAGCACCGGCUAACUCUGUGCCAGCAGCCGCGGUAAUACAGAGGGUGCGAGCGUUAAUCGGAAUUAUUGGGCGUAAAGGGAGCGUAGGCGGAUGUGCAAGUGGUAGGUGAAAGACCUGGGCUUAACCUGGGAGGGUCCUAUCAGACUGCACGUCUAGAGUGAGGUAGAGGAAGGUGGAAUUCCUGGUGUAGCGGUGAAAUGCGUAGAUAUCAGGAAGAACAUCGAUGGCGAAGGCAACCUUCUGGGCCUAUACUGACGCU
rnacentral:rRNA from 1 species